GGGAAUUCCUUUGGGCAGGGCUGGAGCACAUCAUGUUGGGACCAGAGUGCACCACAAUCCUAUGCAAAGACAAUGGCCAAGCCAUAGCAUGGUACACACCUGCACGCUGUACUGGGAUAAAGCCACACCAGGCCUGGGCUGAGCCUGAUGAGAAAGUGGAGAGCUGCAGAGAGGACACUUUGUCCUGUGAAGAGGCAAGCAUCCCUGCUACAAAGAUCAACUGCCCUGACAACACACCCUUUCUUCUGAUUAAAAGGAAGAAGCAUGUCUUUAGGGUAUGCCACAGUCCAUGGACCCAGAACCCUUCAUCCAUAACCCAUCCUUUCUG